rnacentral:rRNA from 1 species
UAGGGAAUAUUGGUCAAUGGACGGAAGUCUGAUCCAGCCAUGCCGCGUGAGUGAAGAAGGCCUUCGGGUUGUAAAGCUCUUUUAGUCGGAAAGAAAGAGUUGCAAUGAAUAAUUGUGAUUUAUGACGGUACCGACAGAAAAAGCACCGGCUAACUACGUGCCAGCAGCCGCGGUAAUACGUAGGGUGCGAGCGUUAAUCGGAAUUACUGGGCGUAAAGGGUGCGCAGGCGGUCUUGCAAGUCAGAUGUGAAAGCCCCGGGCUUAACCUGGGAAUUGCGUUUGAAACUACAAGGCUAGAGUGCAGCAGAGGGGAGUGGAAUUCCAUGUGUAGCAGUGAAAUGCGUAGAGAUGUGGAAGAACACCGAUGGCGAAGGCAGCUCCCUGGGUUGACACUGACGCUCAUGCACGAAAGCGUGGGGAGCAAACA